UACGUAGGGAGCAAGCGUUGUCCGGAAUCAUUGGGCGUAAAGCGCGCGUAGGUGGUCCCGUAAGUCCGCUGUGAAAGUCAAAGGCUCAACCUUUGAAAGCCGGUGGAUACUGUGGGACUAGAGUACGGAAGAGGCGAGUGGAAUUCCUGGUGUAGCGGUGGAAUGCGCAGAUAUCAGGAGGAACACCGGUGGCGAAGGCGGCAUCCUGGACCAACAUUGACGCUGAGGAGCGAAAGCUAGGGGAGCAAACGGG
rnacentral:rRNA from 1 species